rnacentral:rRNA from 1 species
GACGAACGCUGGCGGCGUGCUUAACACAUGCAAGUCGAACGGCAAGGCCCUGCUUUUGUGGGGUGCUCGAGUGGCGAACGGGUGAGUAACACGUGAGUAACCUGCCCUUGACUUUGGGAUAACUUCAGGAAACUGGGGCUACUCCCGUAUCGGAGCUCCUGCUGCAUGGUGGGGGUUGGAAAGUUUCGGCGGUUGGGGAUGGAUUCGCGGCUUAUCAGCUUGUUGGUGGGGUAGUUGCUUACCAAGGCUUCGGCGGAUAGCCGGCCUGGGAGGGUGACCGGCCACCUGGGGACUGAGAGACGGCCCAGACUGCAACGGGAGGCAGUAGGGGGGAAUAUUGCACAAUGGGCGGAAGCCUGAGGAAGCAACGCCGCGGGCGGGAUGACGGCCUUCGGGUUGUAAACCGCUUUCGCCUGUGACGAAGCGGGAGUGACGGUAAUGGGUAAAGAAGCACCGGCUAACUACGUG